rnacentral:rRNA from 1 species
GCUUGUCUCAAAGAUUAAGCCAUGCAUGUCUUAGUGUAAAUAACUCUUAUGAAACUGCGAAUGGCUCAUUAAAUCAGUUAUCAAAUACGUGAUGGUCGCCUACUACAUGGAUAACCGUAGUAAUUCUAGAGCUAAUACAUGCGUCAAACCUCGACUUCUGGGAGAGGUGUAUUUAUUAGAUGGAAACCAAUGCGGGGCAACCCGGAUUAUGGUGAUUCAUAAUAACUUUCAGAUCGAUCGCAAGAUCGAUGCAUCAUUCAAGUUUCUGCCCUAUCAGCUUUGGAUGGUAGGGUAUUGGCCUACCAUGGCUUUAACGGGUAACGGAGAAUUAGGGUUCGAUUCCGGAGAGGGAGCCUGAGAGAUGGCUACCACAUCCAAGGAAGGCAGCAGG